AGGCGGCGGCGCGCGGCGCGGCCAUAUUUGGCGAUUUCGGCGCCGCCGGGGCCCCACCCGCAACCCGGGAAGCCACGGCCCGGGCAGUCCCGUCCCGCCAGGCCGCCGGGCCUGAGUCACCGGCCGGGCGGGGGGUGGGGGGGAGUAACGGACGGGGGCCCCGGCGCGCUCCUCGCCUUAUUUAGUCAAAGAGGCCGCCGAUUGGCCGGCGGAACAAAGGGGCGGGGCAGGGGCGGGACCUGCCUGCACUACCCGCCCCCCGAGGUCCCGCGGCUCCGCGGCGGCAGUGGACGUCCGCGUGCCUGUGGGCCCUGAGGUCUGGUGGCCGUAGAGAGCGGGGCCUGCGCACCUGAGUGCCUGGUGGGGAGCCGAAGGGGCGCCGCAGCCCGGAAGCACCCCCUGCGGCAGGACUGGGCAGUGCGCGACCGCGCCCAGGGCCACCUCAGGGCUGCGCUCUUGGGAGCACGGGGCCGCCCCCCGCCGCAGGCAGGAGACGGCGCAGAUGUAGCAGCCCUGGCUCUGGAGAGCGGGGAGACCCGGGGCCCAGAAAAAGAGCGUGAUGUGUUUUCUAGCUCGGUGCUGGCUUUGAUGGAUUUAUCGUGACCUUCCUGUGUCUCAUUCCAUCUUC